rnacentral:lncRNA from 1 species
AAUUACUCAUGAGAAGCAUCUGAUCACGGCGAUUAUUAUUAUUAUUAUUAUUAUUAUUAUUAUUAUAAGAAGAAGGGAAAAAUUCCUUAGCCAUUGGAUUCAACUUGAGUUUUUUCAACAUGUCAACAAUAUCUUGCAUUUGAUAUUCAGAUUUUGCAUUUGGGAUUGGAUCAGAUUCCUUAACACAACCAUUAUUAGAUUCAGAAAUAAUAUUAUUGUCAGUGUUCGGUGACAGAGAUUGAACAGCAGGAGCUUCAAUCACUGCUGUCAUUUUUCAACAUGUCAACAAUAUCUUGCAUCUGAUAUUCAGAUUUUGCAUUUGGGAUUGGAUCAGAUUCCUUAACACAACCAUUAUUAGAUUCAGAAAUAAUAUUAUUGUCGGUGUUUGGUGACAGAGAUUGAACAUCAG